AAAAACUCAUUAAGGGGUAGGUUGGACCAAUUGAAAUAGUUCGGGAGAGUAAAUCGAGCUAAAAAUUUUCUUAGGGGUUAAGCGAAUAAAGUGAAUAGGUGAAUGGAUUAAAAUAGAUUUUUUCCAUAAAUAAAUACGGUAGGUGCAAGAUGUGUGAUUGGCAUUGUCCGAACUCCGAAGCCAGACAUUUGUCUCGGUGGAACAGAGAGAUUUUAUUAUUUAGAUCUUAAUUUGCACAUCUUUCAGAAUUUGACAUUCCAAUCACAAUUAUAUACGGGAUGAGUCAUUGAUACGUGGGUUCGGACGUUAAAUUCUGAAAGACUUGCAAAUUGGAACCUAAAUAAUGAAAUUUCUCGGCGGGGGACAGCGUUUGUGUAAUAUAUGGGCCGAAUUGGCUAGCCUCGGCCUAAGGCCUAUUUGUGCUGUAGAUAUUUUCACUACACGUACAAUAGUUGAAUUUCCUUUGGAAACGACGCUCCGAAGAAAUCAACAAAUUCAUAAUAUAUACUUUUAAUAUACUUUGUGUAACAAUGUCUAUCUAUCCUUAAGUUGAUUUUCCCAGCAACCAAGAAUUCAGGAUUGCAUGUAUGAUCACCAUUUGUUCUAAUCUUAAUUUUGGUAUAUCCAACCCUGGAAUAUCACCAUUUUUUUU
rnacentral:lncRNA from 1 species